rnacentral:rRNA from 1 species
GAUGAACGCUGGCGGCGUGCCUAAUACAUGCAAGUCGAGCGAACAGACGAGGAGCUUGCUCCUCUGACGUUAGCGGCGGACGGGUGAGUAACACGUGGAUAUCCUACCUAUAAGACUGGGAUAACUUCGGGAAACCGGAGCUAAUACCGGAUAAUAUAUUGAACCGCAUGGUUCAAUAGUGAAAGACGGUUUUGCUGUCACUUAUAGAUGGAUCCGCGCCGCAUUAGCUAGUUGGUAAGGUAACGGCUUACCAAGGCAACGAUGCGUAGCCGACCUGAGAGGGUGAUCGGCCACACUGGAACUGAGACACGGUCCAGACUCCUACGGGAGGCAGCAGUAGGGAAUCUUCCGCAAUGGGCGAAAGCUUGACGGAGCAACGCCGCGUGAGUGAUGAAGGUCUUCGGAUCGUAAAACUCUGUUAUUAGGGAAGAACAAAUGUGUAAGUAACUAGGCACGUCUUGACGGUACCUAAUCAGAAAGCCACGGCUAACUACGUGC